rnacentral:rRNA from 1 species
AAGGCCCGUGCCUCCUUGAUGAUGCUCAUCUCCUGGGGGGUUUGGUCCGAGAGAAACGCUAAAGUCUUCCGCAACGUGGCGGUUCCUUCGAUGGUCAUCAUUAACAAAAUCAAACAAGAGGUGUCGCUCUAGGCUCUGGCGGGUGCCAAGCACUUGGGUGUUGUAAUGCCGCGAGAGUAG